rnacentral:lncRNA from 1 species
AGCUCCAUCUCCCCACCCCCUGCACUCCCUCUGCUCCCCUCCCCUCCUCCGGCGCAGACCCUCCCCUCUCCCCUCCAGCCUGGACACGCCCGCCUCCCCUUGACUCCCCCCAGCUCUGGGCCCCCACCUCCCCUCCCCUCCAGCACAGUCACCCCCAUUUCUCUCCUAUCCGCCAUCCUGGUUCCUCCCUUCCCCCCACCUCCCAACUCUGUGCCCCGCCAACGUUUCCUAAAUGCCCUCUAUUCAGAUCCCCCCUCCGCCUCCCCUCUCCUCUCCUCCAUUCCUGCGUCCCCCUUCCCCCGCCGCGCCGCCUGGGCUGUCCGUGGACUUCUCCCACUCUCUCACUCUCUCACUCACUCUCUCUCUCUCUCUCUCUCUCUCACUCUCUCUCUCUCUCUCCCCCUCAUUUAUUUGGAACCGUUGGAUAAGAAGUGCUCGGGCUCUCGCUCAGACUUAGGGAGCUGCCUCGAGGUGAUGAAUGACACCCCCUGGCACCAGCUACCCUUCUCAGACCCCAGUCCAGCCCGCUCCCGACGUCGACUACGAUUCCGCUACCUCGGCUGGCAGCGAGGUUGGGGUGAGCCCCAGCUGCAGGCGCGUCUGGGCUGCGCCGCUGCAAACGAGUUGCGCACCUUGGGCGGCUCCGCACCUGCACCCGCACCCGCGGGGCUCAGCCCCGAAGGCUGCAGCUUCGGGGGAGGCGCGGUCGCCGAGGUCCAGCUGGUGGGGCGAGAGACGUCGCCCCUCGGAGGAUGCUCUCGGAACUUGGGAGAGGAAGGAGGGAAGAGAAGAGGGGAAAGGGGCCGUCGAUGUUUUUGAUGUCUGUGCUUUAAUGGAGGCCACCAAUAUUGAGAAGACGGGGUUGGCCGAGGCAGCCCGCACGCUGCUGCUUGCGAGCGCUCGAGUCAAAGCUAGGGCCAACCGCGGCUUGUCCGGGUGCCCUAAGGGGGCGGACACUUGGUUUAGCACCGGGACACAGAAUAGCCACCGGGGUAGGAAGAUGCGUUCACUUUGCUUACCUGUUGGCAAGAGGGACAUACAAAAAUAACGUAACGUGACAUCGUUGACAACGGUAGCUCUUUGAUUACACAAAAGCCAAUUUUACCUUCCCGCAAAAGCCAGUUGACGCCUUUGGAACUUUUAUUUGCGGCAUUUUGGCGCCCUCUGGCUGUGUUUGGAUCGCUUUCAUGCUCGCCUGCGUCCCAGCCAAGAAAAAAUCGAUGGAGCUGCAGGUUGUCCUCAGGAUGGUUCUGCCCUCAGGACCUGGGCGUGAAUUCAGGGACAGGGUGGCCCUCCAGAACCGGAGUGACAAACUGUAACCAUACUUAGGGAGGCAGACGUCAAAGGCAAGUACAUCUGUAUUCAACUGGGUAAAGCCAUGUGAAGACGUGCCUGCCUCCCUGUUACCUUCCACCAUGAUUGUAAGCUUCCUGAGGCCUCCCCAGCCAUGCCUGCUGUAUAGCCUGCAGAACAGAUUAAUGAAAAUAAAACGCAGACCUUAUAAGCAGACGCUGUGAUUUUGUAAUAAAGAGGGGCAGCUUUUACAGGAAAAAGAACCCGAGGGAAGCUGUUGGCAGUCUGUGAAACGACGGUCAUGGUGGAAUUCGUUUUUCUGCACAUUAGAUGUUUAAAACAGCUGGUUUUCGUUGUUGUUGUUGUUGUUGUUUUCCUGAAAGAAUCUUGUUCCCCACAAUAUGUUCUUGGUAUUCAAAAUGGCUUUUGCUCCUACUUUUUGGAAAAUGCACUUCAGUUUCCAAUUUAUUCAUUUGUUAGUGGGUUCAUCAAUUAGUUUAUUCAUCAAUUAGUUCAUCCAUUGUGGAAGACAGUGUGGCGAUUCCUCAAGGAUCUAGAACCAAAAAUACCAUUUGACCCAGCAGUCCCAUUACUGGGCUUAUUGAAGUCUCCUAAUGUGAAUUUCUACUCCUGGACAUAAUACCUUCUUCUCAGAAAUAAGACAGAGUUUUCCCCUGCACUUCUUUAUAUGCUUUUUUCUCUGACUUUUGCCAUGUGGUUUUGUUUCUCCCAUGGCUUGAAAGAGCAGGAAAACUGAAGGUACCAACUGAAAGUGCUGCUUCCUGCUUUUGGUUUUCCUUCAUUUUAUUUCAUUUUUCAAGCUGAGUCUCACUCUGUUGCCCAGGCUGAAAUGCAGCUCAACCAUCACGGCUCACAGCAGCCUUGACCUCCUGAGCUCAAGCAGUCCUCCUUCCUCAGCCUCCCGAGUAGCUAGGACCAUAGGUGUGCACCGCCACCCUUAGCUUUUUUUUUUUUUUUUUUUUUGUAGAGACAGAGUCUCCCUAUGUUUCCCAGACUCGGUGUUUUUCAAAUAUUUGAAAAUGUAAAAGCCAUUCUUAGCCCACAGGCUGUACAAAAACAGAUGGAGGGCCAGAUUUAACCCAUGGGCAGUGGUUGGCCAAACCCUUGUGUAUCCCAUGCCAUGCCCUACUAUUCCAGACUUAAAAGUUAUAAUUUUAGGAUAAACUUGUUAUAUUUUUGUCAUGUCAGAAGACUGAGUGUAUACAUUUUCUUUUUUUUUUUUUUGACGGAGUUUUGCUCUGUCCCCCAGGCUGGAGUGCAGUGGGGUGAUCUCGGCUCACUACAACCUCUGUCUUCCGAGUUCAAGUGAUUCUCCUGUCUCAGUCUCCUGAGUAGCUGGGAUUACAGGCUCAUGCCACCAUGCCCAGCUAAUUUUUGUAUUUUUAGUAGAAACGGGGUUUUGCCAUGUUGGCCAGGCUGGUCUCGAACUCCUGACCUCAGGUGAUCCACCUGCCUAGGCCUCCCAAAGUGCUGGAAUUACAGGCGUGAGCCACUGCACCUGGCCUGAGCAUAUACAUUUUCAUAGGCAAAAACAUACCUUGGAAAUACUUCUCAGGAAUGUGCACAUAUGAAUUACAAAAUGUAAAAAGCUUCAACUCCAUUAUGAACUGUAAAUGCAUGUGGCAGGAGGCGAUCCUCAUAGAAGCUGUCAGGGCGUGACUUCAUUCUAGAUGCUGUAAGUAGCAAUAAUAAAAGAGGAAGCAAACACGUGCAGCUUCUGGAAUUCAGACCCUGGAGGAAGGAGACAGGUGGCCUUGAGUGAGGAUAUGAGGAACACAGUCAAGGAGAAAAUGCAGCUGGUGAAUUAUAAACAUCCAUGGGCAGACAUAGAAAGUUAGGAACCCCAGCCCUCUAAUGGAACCAAGAAACCAGAGGCCAGUAGGAAACGGCUCCAGGAAGAGCGAAACUUGAUAAAUGUCCUAGACGUCAGUGAGAAAGAUCCGUUUGUUUUGUUUACACUGAAAAUUUUUAAAUUGCAUGACUAUUUAGAGCACUUUUACAUUUUUUGCCUAGAAUUAGAUCCAAAGAAUAAAUGACCUAUUGAGCCUGAAGGGAUUUUAGGAAAAAAUAACUUUUUUAAAAAAAUAUGUUUUUUUGUUUUUUGUGUUUUUUUUUUGAGACAGAGUCUCGCUCUGUCACCCAGGCCGGAGUGCAGUGGUGCUAUCUUGGCUCACUGCAAGCUCUGCCUCCCGGGUUCACGCCAUUCUCCUGCCACAGCCUCCCAAGUAGCUGGGACUACAGGCAUCUGCCACCACCCCCGGUUAAUUUUUUUUUUUUUUGUAUUUUUAGUAAAGACGGGGUUUCACCGGGUUGCCCAAGAUGGUCUCGAUUUCCUGACCUCAUGAUCUGCCAGCCUUGGCCUCUCAAAAUGCUGGGAUUACAGGUGUGAGCCACCAUGCCUGGCCUAAAAAAUAUAUAUUUUUUAAAAAAUAAAGACAAGGGUCUCACUAUGUUGCCCAGCUUGGUCUUGAAAUCUUGGGCUCAAGUGAUCCUCCUGCCUUGGCCUCCCAAAGUGCUAGGAUUACAGACAUGAGCCACUGCACCAGGCCAAGAAAAAGUAUCUUAAUGACAUAUUUUCAUUUGUGUUUUUCUUCAG